AUUGAACGAUGGCGGCAGGCCUAACACAUGCAAGUCGAACGAGUGGCGGACGGGUGAGUAAUGUCUGGGAAACUGCCUGAUGGAGGGGGAUAACUACUGGAAACGGUAGCUAAUACCGCAUACCAUCGGAUGUGCCCAGAUGGGAUUAGCUAGGAGGUGGGGUAAAGGCUCACCUAGGCGACGAUCCCUAGCUGGUCUGAGAGGAUGACCAGCCACACUGGAACUGAGACACGGUCCAGACUCCUCCGGGUGGCAGCAGUGUGGAAUAUUGCACAAUGGUCUCAAGACUGAUUCAGCAUGGCCGCGUGUAUGAAGAAGGCCUUCGGUUUGUAAAGUACUUUCAGCUGGGAGGCGUUACCCGCACCAGACGCACCGUCUAACUCCGUGCCAGACGCCGCGGUAAUAC
rnacentral:rRNA from 1 species